UCAGCAAUUCUUAAACGAGCUCCAUUUUAAGAGAACUGCAGCCUAGAAAGAAGAUAUGAAACCUUUUUUUUUUUCUGAAAGGUAAUUGAAAACGAAACCGAUUCAAAGGACAAUGAACACAUUUUUUUAUAUAUGUUUUUCUUGUUCUGGAACUAAACUAAAAUUAAAAACCCAAAAUGAAGGAGGACGUUACUUUGAACCUUAGCCUUUCUGCCAAAAAUCUCCCUAAAAGAAUCCUCAGCCCUCUCUCCCAUUUCCUCCCCCUCCUUUAAUCAAUUCCGAGCACCCCCUUUAAACCCAAGCCUAGAAGCUUCCUCAAAAAUCCGAAAAUAUUCCCC
rnacentral:lncRNA from 1 species